rnacentral:tRNA from 1 species
AGUAAGAUAAGCUAAUCUAAGCUAUUGGGCUCAUGCCCCGAAAAUGAGGAAUCCUCUCUUACUU